rnacentral:sRNA from 1 species
AAGGAUGAGAAGCUUCGACUAAGGUUCGACUCGAGCGAAGCGAGAGAACGUUGCCGCAGGCAACGGCCCGAAGGGCGAGGCGCUUUAGCGCCGAGUAAUCCUUCCCCCACCACUG